AUGGAGAGCGCAACAGCAACACCAUCGGCCAUCGCGGCUGGCAACGAACCGUCCUGCUCGUCUCCCGACUCGUCGUCAAGAGCCGUGAUCGACAUCGACGGGAUCGUCAAGGGUUUGAACUGCGCCAACACCGAAUGCCGGGAUAAGCUCGAGGCGAUGACCGCCACAUGCUGGGUGCAGGAACCGCCGCCGGACGCCACGGCAUGCGCCAGCGCACGGGAGGCUCUGGCCGAGUGCCUAUCCAAGGCGUCGGCCGGCGACAUGGAGCAGCAGCAGGGGAACUCGAGUUCAUCGGUUGUGAUCGACGCCGGCCUUGUUAAUUAG
rnacentral:rRNA from 1 species